ACAGGAUGCUCAGUAACGGCGAGUGAAGCGGCAACAGCUCAAAUUUGAAAUCUGGUCCCUAGGGCCCGAGUCUGUAAUUUGUAGAGGAUGCUUUUGGUGAGGUGCCGCCCGAGUUCCCUGGAACGGGACGCCACAGAGGGUGAGAGCCCCGUCUGGCUGGCCGCCGAGCCUCUGUAAAGCUCCUUCGACGAGUCGAGUAGUUUGGGAAUGCUGCUCAAAAUGGGAGGUAUAUGUCUUCUAAAGCUAAAUAUUGGCCAGAGACCGAUAGCGCACAAGUAGAGUGAUCGAAAGAUGAAAAGCACCUUGAAAAGAGGGUUAAAUAGUACGUGAAAUUGUUGAAAGGGAAGCGCUUGUGACCAGACUUGGGCGCGGCGGAUCAUCCGGGGUUCUCUCCGGUGCACUUCGCCGCGUCUAGGCCAGCAUCAGUUCGUCGCGGGGGAAAAAGGCUUCGGGAACGUGGCUCCUCCGGGAGUGUUAUAGCCCGUUGCAUAAUACCCUGCGGUGGACUGAGGACCGCGCAUCUGCAAGGAUGCUGGCGUAAUGGUCACCAGCGACCCGUCUUGAAACACGGACCAAGGAGUCGUCUUCGUAUGCGAGUGUUCGGGUGUCAAACCCCUACGCGUAAUGAAAGUGAACGCAGGUGAGAGCUUCGGCGCAUCAUCGACCGAUCCUGAUGUUCUCGGAUGGAUUUGAGUAAGAGCAUACGGGGCCGGACCCGAAAGAAGGUGAACUAUGCCUGUAUAGGGUGAAGCCAGAGGAAACUCUGGUGGAGGCUCGCAGCGGUUCUGACGUGCAAAUCGAUCGUCAAAUAUGGGCAUGGGGGGCGAAAGACUAAUCGAACCUUCUAGUAGCUGGUUUCCGCCGAAGU
rnacentral:rRNA from 1 species